rnacentral:rRNA from 1 species
GGCCUUGACAUACUAAGAACUUUCCAGAGAUGGAUUGGUGCCUUCGGGAACUUAGAUACAGGUGCUGCAUGGCUGUCGUCAGCUCGUGUCGUGAGAUGUUGGGUUAAGUCCGCAACGAGCGCAACCCUUUUCCUUAUUUGCCAGCGGGUAAUGCCGGGAACUUUAAGGAUACUGCCAGUGACAAACUGGAGGAAGGCGGGGACGACGUCAAGUCAUCAUGGCCCUUACGGCCAGGGCUACACACGUGCUACAAUGGUCGGUACAAAGGGUUGCUACCUCGCGAGAGGAUGCUAAUCUCAAAAAGCCGAUCGUAGUCCGGAUCGCAGUCUGCAACUCGACUGCGUGAAGUCGGAAUCGCUAGUAAUCGCGGAUCAGAAUGCCGCGGUGAAUACGUUCCCGGGCCUUGUACACACCGCCCGUCACACCAUGGGAGUUUGUUGCACCAGAAGUAGGUAGUCUAACCGCAAGGAGGACACUUACCACGGUGUGGCCGAUGACUGGGGUGAAGUCGUAACAAGGUAGGCGUAGAUGA